rnacentral:rRNA from 1 species
CCUACGGGAGGCAGCAGUGGGGAAUAUUGGGCAAUGGGCGCAAGCCUGACCCAGCAACGCCGCGUGAAGGAAGAAGGCCCUCGGGUUGUAAACUUCUUUUAUAUAGGACGAAGAAGUGACGGUACUAUAUGAAUAAGCCACGGCUAACUACGUGCCAGCAGCCGCGGUAAUACGUAGGUGGCAAGCGUUAUCCGGAUUUACUGGGUGUAAAGGGCGUGUAGGCGGGAGAGCAAGUCAGAUGUGAAAACUACAGGCUUAACCUGUAGCCUGCAUUUGAAACUGUUCUUCUUGAGUGAUGGAGAGGCAGGCGGAAUUCCUAGUGUAGCGGUGAAAUGCGUAGAUAUUAGGAGGAACACCAGUGGCGAAGGCGGCCUGCUGGACAUUAACUGACGCUGAGGCGCGAAAGCGUGGGGAGCAAACAGGAUUAGAUACCCUUGU